UCAAAGCCUUUCAUUGAUCAUGGAAGAUGAUCCAGAGCCUGACACAAAAUUACAUUUCUUUCAAAAGUUUCAAUUUUUCUUAAAAAUGGAUGGUAUAGGGAAAGCAAAGGCUAAACUAGCGCUCCAAUCUUGCAAUAGCAUCAUUGGAGCUAUUCUUAGUUCUAGCCAUUGGAGUCAUUUGAGCCAAUGUCAAAAAAGACAUUGGAGCAAAAAGCCUCCAUUUUAAAGGCUUCUUUAAAUGGUGAAGAGCAAUAGAAUGAGGUUGUGUUGCUAAAGAGAUUAGAGCAAAUCUUGUUGUGGGAUGUCCGUGUCUGUAUGUUUCUAGCUCCAGUUGGUACAACACAGUUUCUCAACAAGUCCAUCAAGAUUGUUUGGAUGAGUCCAAGCUCAGUUGAUUCAUCAACAGAGCAAUAUGAAAAUGAGUUCAGUUACUGCUAGGCAACAAGAAACCAUGCAUGAUCAGGCCAAAGGAUUUGAUCAUGAAUUUCUUUGGCUUGAGCUGAUCUAGAAAGAUGAGUUAUCAGGUCUUUUAAGGGAGUACACUGAUAAUGCUUUCAAAGAGAGCUGAUAUGUUGUUUUGGGAACAUGGUUGAGCUUGGAGAUUCAUCCAACAAGUCAGAUGGAUUUGUCAGGGACUGUGCAGUUAGCUGGAGUGAGGGGAUACUGAUGCAUGAUCCUGCAACCUUUCGGCCUCAUUGAUCUUUUGCUACUUCAUCAUUUGAGAAGAACUAACCAUGGAAUCAUGUACAACAGGAUCAAGAAUCAAUGAACUCCAGGGAAAUGCAAUGAAACAUUUUUUUUUCCUUUCU